rnacentral:rRNA from 1 species
CCUACGGGUGGCAGCAGUGGGGGAUAUUGGACAAUGGGGGGAACCCUGAUCCAGCGACGCCGCGUGAGUGAAGAAGUAUUUCGGUAUGUAAAGCUCUGUCAGCAGGGAAGAAAGCAAUGACGGUACCUGACCAAGAAGCCCCGGCUAACUACGUGCCAGCAGCCGCGGUAAUACGUAGGGGGCAAGCGUUAUCCGGAAUUACUGGGUGUAAAGGGAGCGUAGACGGCUGUGCAAGUCUGGCGUGAAAGGGGGGGGCCCAACCCCCGGACUGCUCUGGAAACUGUAUGGCUGGAGUGCAGGAGAGGUAAGCGGAAUUCCUAGUGUAGCGGUGAAAUGCGUAGAUAUUAGGAGGAAUACCGUUAGCGAAGGCGGCAAUCUGGCUGGAAACUGACGCUGAGGUGCGAAAGCGUGGGUAGCAAACAGGAUUAGAUACCCUGGUAGUC